GAUGAACGCUGGCGGCGUGCCUAAUACAUGCAAGUCGAACGCGAGAGGAGGGAGCUUGCUCCCUCUGAUCGAGUGGCGGACGGGUGAGUAACACGUAGGCAACCUGCCCAUCAGCCGAGGAUAACUGCGGGAAACCGUGGCUAAUACCGGAUAAUCCUCUCCACCGCGGGGUGGGGCGGUGCAAGACGGUUUCGGCUGUCGCUGAUGGAUGGGCCUGGGGCGCAUUAGCUGGUUGGCGGGGUAACGGCCCACCAAGGCAACGAUGCGUAGCCGACCUGAGAGGGUGAUCGGCCACACUGGGACUGAGACACGGCCCAGACUCCUACGGGAGGCAGCAGUAGGGAAUCUUCCGCAAUGGACGCAAGUCUGACGGAGCAACGCCGCGUGAGUGAAGAAGGGUUUCGGCUCGUAAAACUCUGUUGUUAAGGAAGAACGCCAGGUAGAGUAACUGCUACCUGUGUGACGGUACUUAACCAGAAAGCCACGGCUAACUACGUGCCAGCCGCCGCUGUAA
rnacentral:rRNA from 1 species